UAGGGAAUAUUGGACAAUGGGGGCAGCCCUGAUCCAGCCAUGCCGCGUGAGUGAAGAAGGCCCUCGGGUUGUAAAGCUCUUUUGUCCGGAAAGAAAAGCAUUCGGUGAAUACCCGGAUGUUCUGACGGUACCGGAAGAAUAAGCACCGGCUAACUUCGUGCCAGCAGCCGCGGUAAUACGAAGGGUGCAAGCGUUACUCGGAAUUACUGGGCGUAAAGCGUGCGUAGGUGGUUGUUUAAGUCUGAUGUGAAAGCCCUGGGCUCAACCUGGGAAUGGCAUUGGAAACUGGGCAGCUAGAGUGCGGUAGAGGGUAGUGGAAUUCCCGGUGUAGCAGUGAAAUGCGUAGAGAUCGGGAGGAACAUCUGUGGCGAAGGCGACUGCCUGGACCAGCACUGACACUGAGGCACGAAAGCGUGGGGAGCAAACA
rnacentral:rRNA from 1 species